ACCAAAAAACUUUUUAAUAACGUAUUUCGAUGUUUAUCUUUUUUAUCAUUCCUAGCGAUUUAAAAUAUAGGGGAAAAAACAAUUUGUUCGGCUUUUAGUAUCUUCAACCACUAUGGAAUUAUAUACAACAUUAACCAUGGUCGGAUGGUCACCCAAUGAAACACCAUGACACAGAAUACCUAUCAGAAGUAGAACUCCUGUACUUUUUUCGUUGCAAACACUACCAAACAGUGAAAUAAAGAUAUGAAACAUUAUCCCACUCAAAAAUAGGUUAUAGUCCAGAUGAAGAAUCGAAUUCAUUGGUCCAUAAUAAAUACAGAUUGAGUGAUUGACAGUCAGUUUUCAAGACCAUGUGGACGAUGCGGUGGGAAGGAAAUUCGCUCUUCGUUGCAAGAAAAGAAAACCAGGCCGAAAUCCGUCGACGAAAGCUGGAUUCAAUGUUCCUGAGUUGUACAUUGUGAUGAUGGAGAAAUGUUACCAUUUUGCAUGCAAAUACAAAAUCUAAAAUUAAAUUCCAACCAGACAUUUUAUGAAAUCAAAAUCAAACCAAACAUUUUAUGAUAUUUCCAGACAUUUGAGGCUCCUCUGUUUUUAAUUUUCAAUUUUUGGAUUGCAUGCAGUUCAGAUCCCAACCCUUGGUUAUAUCUUGCAUGUUUUGUCAGGAGUAAUGAGUAAGUAUAAUUGAUCAGGGGCCCGGGUCACUUAUACUUUCUGUAUGCUCGACUGACCUAGUCCGGCAUAGGCAAAAUUAUUGCUCUUGGAGCACACAAAAAAAGAGAUGCAUGUUGAGAUUAAAAAGGGGGUAUAAUGGUCGAGUGUUAAAUGUCUAUUCCAUUUUUGAAUGAAUGCAUGCGUUAAAUCUUGCUAAAUUUGCAUGUAAUUUCGAAAAUGCAUGAAAAUUUUGUAUUCGCAUGUACAAUGAGCGUUGUGGUGAAGAUGAUGUUGGUGGAGCUCAUGCAGAUGAUGAUGGACAACCGACGAUGACAGAUGAUGAUGGACCAGCCGAUGAUGACAGAUGAUGAUGGACCACCCAAUGGCAGAUGAU